AAGGGUUUGAUCCUGGCUCAGAUUGAACGCUGGCGGCAGGCCUAACACAUGCAAGUCGAGCGGAUGACGGGAGCUUGCUCCUUGAUUCAGCGGCGGACGGGUGAGUAAUGCCUAGGAAUCUGCCUGGUAGUGGGGGACAACGUUUCGAAAGGAACGCUAAUACCGCAUACGUCCUACGGGAGAAAGCAGGGGACCUUCGGGCCUUGCGCUAUCAGAUGAGCCUAGGUCGGAUUAGCUAGUUGGUGGGGUAAUGGCUCACCAAGGCGACGAUCCGUAACUGGUCUGAGAGGAUGAUCAGUCACACUGGAACUGAGACACGGUCCAGACUCCUACGGGAGGCAGCAGUGGGGAAUAUUGGACAAUGG
rnacentral:rRNA from 1 species